GCGAACGGGUGAGUAACACGUGAGUAACCUGCCCCCGACUCUGGGAUAAGCCCGGGAAACUGGGUCUAAUACCGGAUAUGACCUCGCACCGCAUGGUGCGGGGUGGAAAGAUUUAUCGGUGGGGGAUGGACUCGCGGCCUAUCAGCUUGUUGGUGAGGUAAUGGCUCACCAAGGCGACGACGGGUAGCCGGCCUGAGAGGGUGACCGGCCACACUGGGACUGAGACACGGCCCAGACUCCUACGGGAGGCAGCAGUGGGGAAUAUUGCACAAUGGGCGAAAGCCUGAUGCAGCGACGCCGCGUGAGGGAUGACGGCCUUCGGGUUGUAAACCUCUUUCAGUAGGGAAGAAGCGAAAGUGACGGUACCUGCAGAAGAAGCGCCGGCUAACUACGUGCCAGCAGCCGCGGUAAUACGUAGGGCGCACGCGUUAUCCGGAUUUAUUGGGCGUAAAGAGCUCGUAGGCGGUUUGUCGCGUCUGCCGUGAAAGUCCGAGGCUCAACCUCGGAUCUGCGGUGGGUACGGGCAGACUAGAGUGAUGUAGGGGAGACUGGAAUUCCUGGUGUAGCGGUGAAAUGCGCAGAUAUCAGGAGGAACACCGAUGGCGAAGGCAGGUCUCUGGGCAUUUACUGACGCUGAGGAGCGAAAGCAUGGGGAGCGAACAGGAUUAGAUACCCUGGUAGUCCAUGCCGUAAACGUUGGGCACUAGGUGUGUGGGACAUUCCACGUUUUCCUCGCCGUAGCUAACGCAUUAAGUGCCCCGCCUGGGGAGUACGGCCGCAAGGCUAAAACUCAAAGGAAUUGACGGGGGCCCGCACAAGCGGCGGAGCAUGCGGAUUAAUUCGAUGCAACGCGAAGAACCUUACCAAGGCUUGACAUGUGCCAGACCGCUCCAGAGAUGGGGUUUCCCUUCGGGGGUGGUUCACAGGUGGUGCAUGGUUGUCGUCAGCUCGUGUCGUGAGAUGUUGGGUUAAGUCCCGCAACGAGCGCAACCCUCGUUCCAUGUUGCCAGCACGUAGUGGUGGGGACUCAUGGGAGACUGCCGGGGUCAACUCGGAGGAAGGUGGGGAUGACGUCAAAUCAUCAUGCCCCUUAUGUCUUGGGCUUCACGCAUGCUACACAAUGGCCGGUACAACAAGGUUGCCAUACGUGUGAGGUGGAGCUAAUCCCUAAAAGCCGGUCUCAGUUCGGAUUGGGGUCUGCAACUCGACCCCAUGAAGUCGGAGUCGCUAGUAAUCGCAGAUCAGCAACGCUGCGGUGAAUACGUUCCCGGGCCUUGUACACACCGCCCGUCAAGUCACGAAAGUUGGUAACACCCGAAGCCGAUGGCCUAAC
rnacentral:rRNA from 1 species